CCCGGCCCCCUCUCCGACGCUUAGCCGCUCGGGGUCUGCCGCCAGCCUCUCUCCGCCAAGCGGGGGCGGGAACAGGGCGGCACCUACCGGGAUCUGCGACGCUGCGAUUCGAGCCCCCGAAGACCACAAGCUAGCCCGGACGGUGUCCUGGGGCCACCGGCGCGGAGAGUCCGAGCGGAGCAAAGGAGAAAAGAGGCGCCCCACCGACUCGGCAGCGCCUCCCAGGUCAGGGUGCGGCGCCGGCUGUGCGGGGCUGCACUUGGGGAAACUUUGGUUACCUUGUUGGCUGCCGGGAGGAGGGCGCGGAACACGCAGCCCGGGCCUGGCGACCUCCGUGCGCCCCGCCUGUACGCUGAGGCCCUGGGAGCCGGCAUUUCCCGCGCACCCUGUCACUACAGAGACCUGGCAUCCACCGAGGGCCACCGGGGCGCUGGGCACUAUCCAGAGACUCUGUCCCGCCUUCCCGGGCGCGCCUCACGGAGCCCACUCUGCCGCCUCUCGCAAUCUCCGCCCGUUAUCGGCUCCGGCUUUGCGGCGGCGGGGCUUGGACCCCUCUGGCAUGCUGGUUUCACCUCCUUCUUGGCCUUGCAGUGCGGGCACCUCGAGCUUGCUCCCUCCGCGGUCUCAGGAAAAACUGAGGAAACGAGCUGGGUUCCGGAGCCAGGGGAAACAGUGAAGACGCUGCCAGAAUCUCAACAGCCUGGAAACCCCAUCACCUUGGUUCCCUGGGUCUUGGAGUAG
rnacentral:lncRNA from 1 species